AUAUCGAGCUCCUUCUUUUACAGUAAUCGAAUUUUGAGUUUGCAAUGAUUGUUCAUGCCUAAUUGGCAAUAUAUAUUCACAACAAAUUAUUUUUGUUGUCAGACGAAGGGCAUGACGGAUGGCAUCAGCGGAAAGGUGAGCGCCGGUGGAGAUAAGCGAGAAAAGGAGUAGCGCGAGGCGGUAGGCAGCCUUGAAGAGGAUGAGUGGGCCCGCUGCUGGGGGAUGGUCCUAGGGAUUUUUGAAUCAACGAGAGCAGUGUCGGCCCAGGUAUCUUCUUCCAUCUCUGGAUCCUAAACUAUAUAUCUCUCUAAUCUGCAUUGACACGCAGUAGUGCCGGGUACAAGUGUGUGGCUGCUCCAGUGCGAUGAACAGUGCGAUGAAGUUAGCAGCUCUUUAUCCUUUUUCCUCUUAUUCAUUGUGUAUUUCCCCAUUUUAUACAUGUAACAAUGAUGAAUGAUGAUGAACUUAGACUUGGUGUAAGGAGAGUCAUUCUGUUUCCUUGAACAAAACAGCCUUCUAUCCUUAUAUUUAUCCUAAAAGCUUUCAGACGAUACUCACACCAUAUGAUUCGUUGAAGCAUAGAAGUAUUUUUUUCACAUCUAUUACAAUCCAAUAUUUGUUAGUUAAUCAUAUUCUUUAUAUUCGCAAGUAGUAUAAAGUUGCCCCAAAAUUGGUAAUAUGAUUUUGGAUUAUACAUUAUAUGCCGACAAGGAGAUUAAUGCUGCCCAAUAAACUAGCAGUAUGAAAUAACCCUGCAUAUAUUUGUUGAUUUUUAAUUUGAGCCUUUCAAUCCAACUACAAAAAUUAUUUGUACAAUAUUUACUGACUUUUACCUCUUAUUUUGCAGGCUAUCUAGAAUGAUUGCAUGUAUUAAUGAAGUAGUCCACGUUAGGUGGAUUGGCUCAAAAUGGAGAAGCAUGAUUGUAUUAAGCAUUUAAGCUCUAAGCAAUUUAGAAUGUCAAUGUCUUGGGGCUCCCUUGCAAUAUUUCAGAGAACUAUAUUUUUCCAGACAUUUUAUAUUGCCUCACGAUGUUUGGGGGAUCUGAUUAGGUAUUGUUUCUCUAUAUAUCUAUCCAUCUCUCUAUUUUAGUUGCUAAUAGAAUAAUGAACAAUUGAUAGGACUAAUCUUAUAGACUUGUUUUCUCCUCAAUCCGACUGUGUAUUUUCCAAGUUUUGUGCUAAAACGGGAAAAAAACAUAUGUUUUAAACUUGCGACAACAUAUUCUCUGUGCAAAUUUUAGCCUUGU
rnacentral:lncRNA from 1 species